rnacentral:rRNA from 1 species
UACGUAGGGGGCAAGCGUUGUCCGGAAUCAUUGGGCGUAAAGCGCGCGUAGGCGGCCCGGUAAAUCCGCUCUGAAAGUCCAGGGCUCAACCCUGGAAAGCGGGUGGAUACUGCCGGGCUAGAAUCCGGAAGAGGCGAGUGGAAUUCCUGGUGUAGCGGUGGAAUGCGCAGAUAUCAGGAGGAACACCAAUAGCGAAGGCAGCUCGCUGGGACGGUAUUGACGCUAAGGCGCGAAAGCGUGGGGAGCAAACAGG